CCUACGGGCGGCAGCAGUAGGGAAUCUUUCACAAUGGGCGAAAGCCUGAUGGAGCAACGCCGCGUGCAGGAUGAAGGCCUUCGGGUUGUAAACUGCUUUUAUAAGCGAGAAAUAUGAUGGUAACUUAUGAAUAAGGAUCGGCUAACUACGUGCCAGCAGCCGCGGUCAUACGUGGGAUCCGAGCAUUAUCCGGAGUGACUGGGUGUAAAGAGUUGCGUAGGUGGCAUAAUAAGUAGCUAGUGAAAUCUGGUGGCUCAACCAUUCAGACUAUUAGCUAAACUGUUAAGCUCGAGACCGUUAGGGGUAACUGGAAUUUCUAGUGUAGGAGUGAAAUCCGUAGAUAUUAGAAGGAACACCAAUAGCGUAGGCAGGUUGCUGGGACGGUUCUGACACUAAGGCACGAAAGCGUAGGGAGCAAACGGGAUUUGAUACCCCAGUAGUC
rnacentral:rRNA from 1 species